rnacentral:rRNA from 1 species
GACGAACGCUGGCGGCGUGCCUAAUACAUGCAAGUAGAACGCUGAAGGAGGAGCUUGCUUCUCUGGAUGAGUUGCGAACGGGUGAGUAACGCGUAGGUAACCUGCCUGGUAGCGGGGGAUAACUAUUGGAAACGAUAGCUAAUACCGCAUAAUAUUGACUAUUGCAUGAUAGUCAGUUGAAAGGUGCAACUGCACCACUACCAGAUGGACCUGCGUUGUAUUAGCUAGUUGGUGGGGUAACGGCUCACCAAGGCGACGAUACAUAGCCGACCUGAGAGGGUGAUCGGCCACACUGGGACUGAGACACGGCCCAGACUCCUACGGGAGGCAGCAGUAGGGAAUCUUCGGCAAUGGACGGAAGUCUGACCGAGCAACGCCGCGUGAGCGAAGAAGGUUUUCGGAUCGUAAAGCUCUGUUGUAAGAGAAGAACGAGUGUGAGAGUGGAAAGCUCACACUGUGACGGUAUCUUACCAGAAAGGGACGGCUAACUACGUG